AUGGAUGAUCAUCAAGAGGAGGGGCCGGAGAAGGUGAAGCUUUUCGGCAUGUGGGCGAGCCCCUACGUGCUCAAGGUGAGAUGGGCGCUGAGCAUCAAGGGCGUGGAGUACGAGUACGUGGAGGAGGACCUGAGGAACAAGAGCAGCGACCUCCUGGAGCACAACCCCGUGCACAAGAAGGUCCCCGUGCUGCUCUACCGCGGCAGACCGGUGGCGGAGUCCGACGUCAUCGUCGAGUUCGUUGAUGAGGCGUGGAGCCACCGCGGCGGCCGCAUCCUCCCUGACGACCCCUACCAGCGCGCCAUGGCCCGCUUCUGGGUGAGGUUCGUGCAUGACAAGCUCUCGCCGCCGAUCUGGAAGUGGUUCACGGCGGCGCCAGGCGAGGGGCAGGAGGCCGCGCUGGGGGCCGCCGUGGAGCAGCUGCAGGUCCUGGAGGACUUGCUCGCCGUCGGCGGCAAGGAGUUCUUCGCCGGGGAGAGCGUCGGGCUCGUCGACCUGUCGCUGGGCGCGAUGGCAUACGUGGUCCCGAUGUACGAGGAGAUCAUCGGCGUGAGGCUGGUCACCGAGGAGAGGUUCCCGUCUCUGUCGGCGUGGAUGGGCCGAUUCUUGGACUCGCCGCCGGUGAAGGAUCACCCGCCGCCAGUGGAGAGGCUGAAACCCAGUUUCUGCCUGCCAGGGCCGGUGGUAUUGUUACUCCUUUCCAUGGUGAUGAACAUGAAAUUACUCGAUCCGCCAUUGGAGGAGGAACCAUCGGGGGAGGGAUCUGCGGGAGGAGGCUGUGUCGGCGGCGGGGUCGGACAUGGACUUGCGGGACUUGAGGAGUCGUGCGUGAUAUCGCUCAUAUCAUCAUGCACGGACCUAUGCGAGGGAAACGGAAGUUCCACCAAUUUAGGGAAUCGCUGA
rnacentral:rRNA from 1 species